rnacentral:misc_RNA from 1 species
AUUUUUGUUUCUUUUGGUUGUUGGAGAUUUGUCUAUUUUGUAUGUUAAAGUGAAGAUCUCUGUAGUGUUUUGCAGAGUUUUUUUGGGGGGUGGAACUGUGAAACAAAGAAUUGAAGGAAAAAGGAGUACAGAAGAAGAGGAAGCAGAAAAUUUGUGUUCUUGGAGUGUCCGUUAGUGAUGAUUGGUCACAAGAUGUGUGGACUAUAUAUGAAGAUUUUGUUUGUAUUUGCAGUUUUUGCUGUUCAAAAUUGCCAGGGGUUUACUGAUCCUCGUGAUGUAUUUGCCAUAAAUAGUUUAUAUACUAGUCUGGGCUACCCCUUG